AUGCGGAUUAAUUCGAUGCAACGCGAAGAACCUUACCAAGGCUUGACAUAACCGAGAACGCCGCAGAAAUGUGGAACUCUUUGGACACUCGGUUACAGGUGGUGCAUGGUUGUCGUCAGCUCGUGUCGUGAGAUGUUGGGUUAAGUCCCGCAACGAGCGCAACCCUCGUCGCAUGUUGCCAGCACGUCAUGGUGGGAACUCAUGUGAGACUGCCGGGGUCAACUCGGAGGAAGGUGGGGAUGACGUCAAAUCAUCAUGCCCCUUAUGUCUUGGGCUUCACGCAUGCUACAAUGGCCGGUACAAAGGGCUGCGAUGUCGUAAGGCGGAGCGAAUCCCAAAAAGCCGGUCUCAGUUCGGAUUGAGGUCUGCAACUCGACCUCAUGAAGUCGGAGUCGCUAGUAAUCGCAGAUCAGCAACGCUGCGGUGAAUACGUUCCCGGGCCUUGUACACACCGCCCGUCAAGUCAU
rnacentral:rRNA from 1 species